rnacentral:lncRNA from 1 species
CCCCAACUUCUCCCUCUGCCCAAAUCCCUCCAGUCCCGCCCCAAAAUUCUCCUUUUUUAGCCCAAAAUCCUCAGUUCUUGCACCAAAAAUCCUCAAUUUUCACCUCAAAAUUCUCAAUUCCCGCCUCAAAAUCCACAAUUCCCACCCCAAAAUCCUCAAUUUCUCCCCCAAAAUCCUCAAUUUCUCCCCAAAAUUCUCAAUUCCCACCCCAAAAUUCUCAAUUCCCACCCCAAAAUCCUCAAUUCUUGCCCCAAAAUCCUCAAUUUCCACCCCAAAAUCCUCAAUUCCCCCCCCCAAAUCCCCUCCCUGUGAAAAAAAAAAAUCUUUUUCCCCCCAAAUCCUUAAUUUCCCCCUCAAAACCCCAAAUGAUCCAACUCCCACCCCAAAUCUCCUCUCCUGACCCCAAAAUCCCCCUGCUCCUCCCCCAAACCCAUCUCCAGACCCCAAAUGGGCCUUUUUUUAACCCAAACCCAAAAUCCUCCCUUUCGCACCCAAAUCCCCUCCCCGCACCCCAAAUCCUCCUUUUCUGA